rnacentral:rRNA from 1 species
UACGGGGGGGGCAAGCGUUGUUCGGAAUUACUGGGCGUAAAGGGUCUGUAGGUGGCUUGCUAAGUCAGACGUGAAAUCCCUCAGCUUAACUGGGGAACUGCGUCUGAGACUGGCGAGCUUGAGGGCAGGAGAGGAACGCGGAAUUCCAGGUGUAGCGGUGAAAUGCGUAGAUAUCUGGAGGAACACCGGUGGCGAAGGCGGCUUCCUGGCCUGUUCUUGACGCUGAGGCGCGAAAGCCAGGGGAGCAAACGGG